rnacentral:rRNA from 1 species
UACGUAGGGUGCAAGCGUUGUCCGGAAUUAUUGGGCGUAAAGAGCUCGUAGGCGGUCUGUUGCGUCGGCUGUGAAAACCCGGGCUCAACUCCGGGCCUGCAGCCGAUACGGGCAGACUAGAGUUCGGCAGGGAGACUGGAAUCCUGGUGUAGCGGUGAAAUGCGCAGAUAUCAGGAGGAACACCGGUGGCGAAGGCGGGUCUCUGGGCCGAUACUGACGCUGAGGAGCGAAAGCGUGGGGAGCGAACAGG